rnacentral:rRNA from 1 species
UAGGGAAUAUUGGUCAAUGGACGGAAGUCUGAACCAGCCAUGCCGCGUGCAGGAAGACGGCCUUCUGGGUUGUAAACUGCUUUUAUCAGGGAACAAAUGGCCCAUGCGUGGGAAGUUGAGUGUACCUGAAGAAUAAGCACCGGCUAACUCCGUGCCAGCAGCCGCGGUAAUACGGAGGGUGCAAGCGUUGUCCGGAUUUAUUGGGUUUAAAGGGUGCGUAGGCGGUUGAUUAAGUCAGUGGUGAAAUCCUCCAGCUCAACUGGAGAACUGCCAUUGAAACUGGUUAACUUGAGUACAGACGAGGUAGGCGGAAUUUAUGGUGUAGCGGUGAAAUGCAUAGAUACCAUAAAGAACACCGAUAGCGAAGGCAGCUUACUAGACUGUAACUGACGCUGAGGCACGAAAGCGUGGGGAGCGAACAGGAUUAGAUACCCGCGUAGUCC